GCGCAGAUGUUUCCAUCUCUUCCUCUCCAGAAGCCACCCGAUUGAGACAGUCUCUGGGGCUAUCUUGACAUUGGUUUCAGGGUAGCCAGUGAAGCUGUUUCUGGAUGGGUGCAGCCGGGAGAAGAGGAUUCUGUGAGUAUACAGGAGAGGAGGAUGAGGGGCAAGGCAAGAAGAUUGGUGGAGGAGGGAAAGGAGGUGAGAUGGACGGAAGAGUGAAGAGAGGUGGAAGGGUACAGAAUGGUCCAUGUAUAUUUGACCUGAUACAAUAAGCGCUGUGUUCGGUGCACUUCUGUGCCAGUCCAUUUGGAGGAGAACAUCGCCUCUACCGCCCUCCUCCAGCUCCCUGAUUGAGAGAAUGGACUGCGACAACACGGUGAUCAGCUGAAUAUCAAUCGAUGAUCUAUAGACGACACAGGAGCAGCACAGCCAGACUGCUCUCUCACUAACACCACUGCUUCAUGGCCCCAGAGGAGCACACUGCUUUCUACCACCACAUCUUCCAUCCCUCAAGAGGACCAGGCCCUAAUGAAACAUUCUACUGUAACAAGCUCAUUAGAACAUCUCUGGGUUGGCAGAACUGCAGUUUCAUCUGAGGGAAGUCACUUGGGUUUCUAACUACCUUGGAGAUCUGCGUUUCCCGGACACCACUCAUAUCCCAGAUAGCGUGGGAACCCAAUAAAGCUACCAUCGCCUGUCUGCACUGAGCCUAAGGGAGACCCCUUGUCCUUUCCCCUCAACUAUCAAUCAACAUCCAUCAACCUCCUGAACUUAAACCGAAUGACGAAAUGGAAUUUCUCCGGCGGCGCGGGACGACCUGGUGGAUCCAUAGGGGGUUCUCCUGGAGAUGCCUUAUCAGCCAUCAGCCAGCGACUUCAUUCAUUUCUAACGGUGUUCACCCAUGUUACGAUUUAUAGAUGGUUGUCCUUGUACAAAGCCUGGUGUGUAACCUCUGAGCUGCGUGUUGAAGCAGCAUGUUUGAUUCGUCUCAUUCAGUCGUUGACCCUGUCUUUUACUAUCUGUUGUCCCCAGUGCAUUAGGAUAUUAACAAUACGAGGGGUCGCUCUAAGCCUAAGGAGUAGAGAUCAAUAUCUAUAUUCAAGGUUAUCAUUAGGCAUACAAAGAUUGAAUUAGUUUAGAACAACCGAACAUUGCUUUAAUUGCGUGAAGAUAAUUUGUGAUUAGGCGUGAGAAAAAAAUGCCCUCCAGCCUCGGAUGUGUUAUAGACCUGGAAGGACAUCAUUUAUUGCUUUCAUACACAUGUUCCAGCCAUCAGAUGGAUUCCCAGACAUUCUUAGCUGGUUCUCAUGUAGCCCAUCUGUCCACUCCCUGGAGUCAGGCAACACAGGAGCCCCGGCGACAUUUGGAGUGAAAUGAGAGUAGGCCUUAAAUGUCAAGUAAAAAAGGCUUGAGAUAGCUUUGACACUAAACGUGUCAAACAGACCCACAGUGUGUGUGUGUGUGUGUGUGUGUGUGUGU